AACGUAGGAGGCAAGCGUUAUCCGGAGUUACUGGGCGUAAAGCGCGUGUAGGUGGAUUGGUAAGUUACUUAUAAAAGCUCCUGGCUAAACUAGGAGAGGUUGAGUGAUACUGCCAGUCUUGAAUAGAGGAGAGGUUGACGGAAUUCCGCGUGUAGUGGUGAAAUGCGUAGAGAUGCGGAAGAACACCAGUGGCGAAGGCGGUCAACUGGCCUCAUAUUGAUACUCAGACGCGAAGGCAUGGGUAGCGAACGGG
rnacentral:rRNA from 1 species